GCUUGUAACAAGGUAGCCGUUCGCGGUAGGAUUUUACAGUGACGAUGAAGCGUUGAGGCAGAGUCAGGUGGAAAACAGCAGUGGUUUUAUUCUUCACACAACAUCAACCAACACUUCACAGGUGAAAACUGCAGUCUUAAAUAGUCCCAGCUGUGACGGAUCAAACCACCUUUAAUUCACAGGGGAAUCUCAAUUCAUCAAUAUCCACUUAUUUAAUUAAAAUACCUUUUACUAAAUAUAAACAUUUCUAUUUACUUUUUAUAAAUAUUUUAUGUUUUAUCAUUACACCAGAUGAAACACCACAAAACCCAUAAACAAUUUCCCCCCCCACACUUUUCAAUGGCCUCUCCCGCAGACUAUAUAUGGUGUCUGGACCCCCGGGGCAGCAUUUGUCCAAACACCCUGGAGAGGACACAGAAAAGACAGGCAACCACCUCACUCGUCAAUGAGGAGCAGCUGUGCAGAGCCCAGAACAAAAGGCUACAUGCUAAUGUCUAAAAAUACUCAAUAAAUACAAUUAAAACUU